ACAUUUGUGGUUCAGUUGUGGAAUUCUCACCUUCCAUGCAGGUGACCCAGGUUUGAUUCCUGGCCAUAUGUA
rnacentral:tRNA from 1 species